AGUCUGGAAUGGCCUCGUCCUGCCUCCCCCACCUUGAAGCCUCUGCUUUUCUCUUCCAGCAUCUGCGCUGCCUGUGAGUGUGGUAUAUUUUCUGUCUAUCUGUCAUCUGUCUGUCUGCCUUCCUGUUGUCUGUCUUCCUUGCUGGAAUGUCAACCCCAUGAGAGCAGAGACAUCGCCUGACAUUGUCUGUUUGGGUCACAGCUGCUUCCCCAGCUCGCGGAGCGGGGCCUGGCAUGUUGGAGGAAGUAAUAAAUGUUUGUCAAGUAAAUGAAUGAACGAAGGAAGGAAUGAAGAAAACAUUUAUUGGUCUCUGCUAUAUACUGGGUUAGGUUAGGACAAGCUACGAUGGGUUAGGACUAAGGGGAAAUGAAUGAAAUUAAAAACUCCCAGACCAGGAAAAAUGAAUGCCAAAGACAACUUUAGAGGAGGAAAUGAAUUCUUUCAUAAUGGCUUAGGUGUGAGUUGCGUAUGUGUGUAUAUAUGUGUGGGGUGGGUAGAGGGGGCGUUUUCUGCCAUGGUAAUAAUAAUCAUAUAGGUGGGUAACAGCAAAUAAUUGUAUGUGUAAAACUUAAAUCCUCUGACAAUAACAAAAGUCAUAAUGACCAUGAAUCGAGUACUUAUAUGUGGGACACAGUACUUUAGAUACAUUAACUCUUUACACAAGCCCCCGUGAGAACAGGACUUGGCUGUUCUUUUCACUGCUGUAUCCGCAGUGCCUGGGACAUAGCAGGGGCCCAAUAUACAUUUACACAAUGAAUGAAUCUCCAUUUUAUAUUUGAGGCCUUUGAUCAGAAAGGGCAAGUGACUUGUCCAAGGACACACAGCUGGAAAGUGACAGAGCCAAUUGAAACCAGGUCCGUUUGGCUCUGUCCAUCUUGCAAAAGAAGCUCUUCUCUCUACGUUCAUUGGCCUCUUUGAGUCACUGCCCACCACCACCACCACUCCCCUGAAGAAAUGACUCCCCACCCCCUUCCCUCACUAACCCUCACAACAUGCCUAAAACUCUGCUUAGCUCAAAGUCUGAAAGAUCUUGGGCUAGAUGGGAAUGGAAAACAGGCCGAGCAGUUUUAGCUACCAACAUUGCAAACACAGCCUGGGCCCUGUUGUCUCUGAAGCCUCCUGGCUCAUUGUCAUCUUUCACUAUGCCUGACGAGGCUGGUGUGGGAGGACCAGGGAACAAU
rnacentral:lncRNA from 10 species